GAUGAACGCUGGCGGCGUGCCUAAUACAUGCAAGUCGAGCGAACGGACGAGAAGCUUGCUUCUCUGAUGUUAGCGGCGGACGGGUGAGUAACACGUGGAUAACCUACCUAUAAGACUGGGAUAACUUCGGGAAACCGGAGCUAAUACCGGAUAAUAUUUUGAACCGCAUGGUUCAAAAGUGAAAGACGGUCUUGCUGUCACUUAUAGAUGGAUCCGCGCUGCAUUAGCUAGUUGGUAAGGUAACGGCUUACCAAGGCAACGAUGCAUAGCCGACCUGAGAGGGUGAUCGGCCACACUGGAACUGAGACACGGUCCAGACUCCUACGGGAGGCAGCAGUAGGGAAUCUUCCGCAAUGGGCGAAAGCCUGACGGAGCAACGCCGCGUGAGUGAUGAAGGUCUUCGGAUCGUAAAACUCUGUUAUUAGGGAAGAACAUAUGUGUAAGUAACUGUGCACAUCUUGACGGUACCUAAUCAGAAAGCCACGGCUAACUACGUGCCAGCAGCCGCGGUAAUACGUAGGUGGCAAGCGUUAUCCGGAAUUAUUGGGCGUAAAGCGCGCGUAGGCGGUUUUUUAAGUCUGAUGUGAAAGCCCACGGCUCAACCGUGGAGGGUCAUUGGAAACUGGAAAACUUGAGUGCAGAAGAGGAAAGUGGAAUUCCAUGUGUAGCGGUGAAAUGCGCAGAGAUAUGGAGGAACACCAGUGGCGAAGGCGACUUUCUGGUCUGUAACUGACGCUGAUGUGCGAAAGCGUGGGGAUCAAACAGGAUUAGAUACCCUGGUAGUCCACGCCGUAAACGAUGAGUGCUAAGUGUUAGGGGGUUUCCGCCCCUUAGUGCUGCAGCUAACGCAUUAAGCACUCCGCCUGGGGAGUACGACCGCAAGGUUGAAACUCAAAGGAAUUGACGGGGACCCGCACAAGCGGUGGAGCAUGUGGUUUAAUUCGAAGCAACGCGAAGAACCUUACCAAAUCUUGACAUCCUUUGACAACUCUAGAGAUAGAGCUUUCCCCUUCGGGGGACAAAGUGACAGGUGGUGCAUGGUUGUCGUCAGCUCGUGUCGUGAGAUGUUGGGUUAAGUCCCGCAACGAGCGCAACCCUUAAGCUUAGUUGCCAUCAUUAAGUUGGGCACUCUAAGUUGACUGCCGGUGACAAACCGGAGGAAGGUGGGGAUGACGUCAAAUCAUCAUGCCCCUUAUGAUUUGGGCUACACACGUGCUACAAUGGACAAUACAAAGGGCAGCGAAACCGCGAGGUCAAGCAAAUCCCAUAAAGUUGUUCUCAGUUCGGAUUGUAGUCUGCAACUCGACUACAUGAAGCUGGAAUCGCUAGUAAUCGUAGAUCAGCAUGCUACGGUGAAUACGUUCCCGGGGUCU
rnacentral:rRNA from 1 species